GUGCUUGCUUUAACAGCACAUAUACUAAAACUGGACUAACUCAGAAAGUUAACAUGGCCCCUACUAUGCACAAGGAUGGCAUGCAGAUUCCCAUCACCCCCACCCCCAUCACUCUUUUU
rnacentral:snRNA from 1 species